rnacentral:ncRNA from 2 species
UUCGCAUUGGGAGCUGUGAACCUGACUGAUAGAUGGGCGCUUGCAUUCAGGGGAGCUAGUGGCGCAACCGACCACAUACGAA